rnacentral:misc_RNA from 1 species
GAUGAAGAACGCAGCGAAAUGCGAUAAGUAAUGUGAAUUGCAGAAUUCAGUGAAUCAUCGAAUCUUUGAACGCACAUUGCGCCCAUUAGUAUUCUAGUGGGCAUGUCUGUUCGAGCGUCAUUAAGUCCACUUAAGCCCUGCUUAGUGUUGGGAGACUGCUCCAGCGGUGCUACCCUGUAGCUACCCUGCAGCUCCUCAAAGACAGCGGCGGAGUUGUGGUAUCCUCUGAGCUUAGUAACUUGUUCUAGCUUUCGAGUACACCACUUCCCCUGCCGUAAAACCCUUAAUUUUUAAUGGUUGACCUCGGAUCAGGUAGGAAUACCCGCUGAACUUAAGCAUAUCAAUAAGCGGAGGA